CUCGCAGCGCCUCAUCCCCUUCCCCGACACAGCCGCCGCCGCCGCCGAAGGGAUCUCACGCAGCGGCGCCCUUCCAUCCUCUUGCUCGCUCUGCACGCGAUUGCGCAACCCUCUCCUCCAUUGUCCCUCCUUUUUUCCCUCCAGCUCCAUGUCCUACCUCCCCAAGGCGCCUCCCUGAAGGUCGAAGGUGUGACAAAGAUGAGAGGAUGAGGGCAGGAGGAUGGGAAGAUGAGUCGAGCUGGAGCAAGGUGGGGACAUCCCAGCUGCCAAUGUAUUCCUCCCCGUCAUGCAGGCGUUCCCGCCCUUACGACCUCAGCAGGCACCAUCAAGGGUGGAUGUGCUCAUCUGCUGGUCAUAACCGCUGGUGAUGUCCUCUCCUCCAAUGGAAGUUGAUGACAAAUCCCCUCCUCCAAGUCCAAGGUGACAAUCGACUCAUGCAGAUUUGCUUCUCCGGGUAUUUCACUCAACCCCUACAAAUAUUUCAUGGAAUCCAUGAGUUCUCUUCUGUACUGAUUGAGCAAGUUGCAGGUAAAAAGAUUGUGCGAUGAGGCAAAUGAGAUAUUAGGGAGGAAGCUAAUAUUCAGGUAUGGUAGAUCGUUCUCAUAAUAUUCAGGUAUGGUAGAUUGUUCUCAUAAUUUUGCAAUGGCGUCUGUUAAUAGGUAAUAGGGUGUUACAAAAUAUAAUGGUGAUAUGCUCUAUUCAGUUGUAGACUUGUAGUAACAUCAUGCCAGUAUCCUCUUUGGCGUGUUCUGCACUGUUCGCUUUGCUCAAAAUUUUGUAAUGGAAUCAUUUUGUUUUGUUAAUAGUAUGGAAUGAACCAACUAAGAAAAGAUAUGAAGAGUGUCUUCAUGAUCAUUUUUCGGUGCUGUGUACAUGAAAUACCUUCUCCAAUUUUUAAUUUAUGAAGUGGACUAGGACCUUUGCCCCAAGCACCUGUGGAAGAUACUAGCCGAGCUGCGAACUGGUGAGUCGCGGGCAAAAGAAAAUAAUGUAGAUGCAGUCGCAGGUUGCAGGUGGUUAGGCAGGCCGAUUGAACCGAUGUGGGCGAUGUGUUCACAUGGGCAUCCGCUAUCCGGUCGAGGAGCGAGCCCAUGUGGUAAAGCUGCUUCGGGCCUCCCGGACCGCACAUCGAUGCAGGUCUAGGCGAAGCGGCGUUCGCUGUUAGGUGAAGCAGAUCAACAAGAGAAAGUGAGUCAUUGGGGUUUGAAGAAAGCAAUCAACAGUGAGUUCCACGAGGCAUUCAUGGCAGAUGAUAUGCCAGUUGUUGGCAACACUAAUGGAGACAUGCGUUUCAAUUUUCCCAACUUGUUGAUGCUUCAUUACAUGCGUCUAUAUGCAUGUUGUCUAGCCUGGUGCUCUCCUGGUCCAUUACCCUUCUUACUCUGGAGCGAAACAUCAAACAGUAUGGUUUCGGCUAAUGUUUCCCUCUAUUAACAUUUUUACCCUUGUGAUUUUUCUGUCGUGCAAUUUCUAUCAUGUGCUCGUUUGGUGAUGCUUUGAUUGUGUAACCUACUUUAGUUUUGGCAUGGCUAGAUUUUUAGACAGAUAUACAUAUUUGUCAAUUAUUGCAAUCAAGUGUUUGACAAAUGGGUAUAAUCUGCAGCAGAAUCAAAAUUCGUGGGAGCUAAUAAUAAAAAGCAAGCAUCAUAUUUGUUGCCAUGGGAUAGAAACAGCAUAUGACAACUUCAUCACACAAGCUUCCUAGAAGCGUGCUUUUGUAAAAUAAAAUAAUUUCAUAUUAUUCUGCAGCUACUCUCUGUGUUCCUGAGCUCGUGUUUUUCUUCUGUAGCUCAUCAGUAAAUCUCCAAGAAAACACAUGCACAUAACUGUAUAUUUUAUGGAUUAUUUGGAGCAGUGUCAUUUCAAUUAAUGUUCUGUUAGUCGUUACAUUUAAAUAUUUUUUAACGUAAGUCCUUUCCCAAGUUAUUUCUCCCUCACAACAUUGUUGAGAGCAAUGAAGAGGGCAUGACCAAGUUCAUGCCAGGUGACCAUGUCCUGCCAGUGUUCAUUGGCCAGUGCAAGGAAUGUGCUCACUAUAAUAUUUGUGACCUCUACAGGAUCAAUGUCGACCGGGGCAUGCUGGUCUUCACCAUCAGCUGGAAACUGAUAUUCGUCUUCGUCCGGACCUCUACCUUCAGUGAUUGUUCCGAUGCCGUUAUUUCCCAAUGAAACACCAUAUUCAGAUUCAGAAUGCCUCGCGGAAUCGGCAAAGGGUUUGAGGGUGGCGAUUUUUAGCCUUGGAGUUGUAAGCCUUGCUGCUAUGGAAGGGGCCAGCAUGGAUAGGGGAUCAAGUAUUAUCAGUGUGGACUUGAACCCUGCAAAAUAUGAACAAGUUACAAUCUAUUGCUAUCUUCAGAAAGAAAAUAUAUAUACAUUUUCAUAAUUGUUUAUGGACACACACUGAACUUUUGCGAAAAAGCCAGCUAAGAAAUUUCACUGCACCGACUUUGUAAACCCAAAGGAUCGCACUAGUGCAUGAGAUGACAAACAUUGGAGUCAACAGACCCGUGGAUUGCACUUGCCACGUCGACACCAUGAUAUUUGCCUUUGAAUGCUUUCACGAUGGGUAGGGCGUGGUUAGGCUGGUGGGUGUCCCACACAAGGAGGUGGCAUUCAAUACCCACCUGAUGAACUUCCUCAAUGGCAAGACCUCGAAAGGUGCCUUCUUUGGAAACUACAAGCCACACACCAACUUCCCAAACGUCAUCAAGAUGUAAGUUCAUCACGCACGUCGGACCCUUCUAACAGAUCAAAUUGUGAUCAUCAUUCUAAAGAGAACCGCUGCUUCACAAGGUUGGAUGAUUAGACUGAGCUUCUUCUUUCAUGUCCCUUGCUACUUUUAGAUUUGGUGCUUGAGAAACAUAAGAAAAAUGCUUAUAAGAUCUUCCCUCAGGUAAUAAUGUAAUAGUUAUGAGACACCAUGUGUUGAGCUCUUUUUUGUCACAAAGAACGAACACUGUUUUGUGUUGUCGUACAGUUUGGUCUUC